AUAACAGUAUGUUCUCAAUUUUCAACAAUUGCUUGGAAGAUGAUAAAAUAAAGGGGAAAACUGUUUGUUUUUUCUGAAUUUUUUUUUUUUGAGUAGUUCGGAUUAGUUAUUGACCAAUCCGAGUUGGUAUGACUGUAUUCCAUUCAAUUGAAAUGAAUCAUUCGAUUUCGAUCCAUUAAAAUCAUCCAAGAACCUUCGUCCCUUCAUCAUCAAUCUCAAUCUCACCGAAGAUUUUUGCCAUUUAUCGAGAACAAUUCAAACGGGUGAAAGUGUACCUUCUCGAAUUACUACUAACAUCCGCUGCGGACGGAGAAC
rnacentral:lncRNA from 1 species